GACAGAGGGUGCAAACGUUGCUCGGAAUCACUGGGCGUAAAGGGCGUGUAGGCGGGAAUGUAAGUCGGGCGUGAAAUCCCUAGGCUCAACCUAGGAACUGCACUCGAAACUGCGUUUCUUGAGUAUCGGAGAGGAAAGCGGAAUACCUGGUGUAGAGGUGAAAUUCGUAGAUAUCAGGUGGAACACCAGUGGCGAAGGCGGCUUUCUGGACGAUGACUGACGCUGAGACGCGAAAGCGUGGGGAGCAAACAGG
rnacentral:rRNA from 1 species